GACGAACGCUGGCGGCGUGCUUAACACAUGCAAGUGGAGCGACGAACCAGGGCUUGCCCUGGGGCAAAGCCGCGAACGGGUGAGUAACACGUGGGUAACCUGCCCCGAUGAUUGGGACAACUCCGGGAAACCGGAGCUAAUACCAAAUGUGCUCGCCCCCUCCAAGGGGGGUGAGGACAGGAAGCUUCGGCCUCCGCAUCGGGAUGGGCCCGCGGCCCAUUAGCUUGUUGGUGGGGUAACGGCCUACCAAGGCGACGAUGGGUCGCUGGUCUGAGAGGACGAUCAGCCACACUGGGACUGAGACACGGCCCAGACUCCUACGGGAGGCAGCAGUGGGGAAUCUUGCACAAUGCGCGAAAGCGUGAUGCAGCAACGCCGCGUGGGGGAAGACGGCCUUCGGGUUGUAAACCCCUUUCAGUUGGGACGAAGCUUCGUCGGUUAAUAGCCGGCCGGAGUGACGGUACCUUCACAAGAAGCCCCGGCUAACUACGUGCCAGCAGCCGCGGUAAUAC
rnacentral:rRNA from 1 species